GUCUACGGCCAUACCACCCAGAACGUGCCCGAUCUCCUGUGAUCUCGGAAGCUAAGCAGUGUUGGUCCUGGUUAGAACUUGGAUAGGAGAAAUAGUCU
rnacentral:rRNA from 1 species